rnacentral:rRNA from 1 species
GGUUCGAUUCUGGCUCAGAUUGAACGCUGGCGGGAUGCUUUACACAUGCAAGUCGAACGGCAGCACGGACUUCGGUCUGGUGGCGAGUGGCGAACGGGUGAGUAAUGUAUCGGAACGUGCCUAGUAGCGGGGAUAACUACGCUGAAAAGCGUAGCUAAUACCGCACACGCCCUUCGGGGGAAAGCGGGGGACCUUUCGUCUUCGCACUAUUAGAGCGGCCGAUAUCGGAUUAGCUAGUUGGUGGGGUAACGGCCACCAAGGCGACGAUCCGUAGCUGGUUUGAGAGGACGACCAACCACACUGGGACUGAGACAUUGCCCGAUUCCUACGGGAGGCAGCAGGGGGAAUUUGGACAAUGGGGGAAACCUGGAUCCAGCCAUCCUUGGCGUGCGAUGAAGGCCUUCGGGUUGUAAAGCACUUUUGGGCAGGAAAGAAACGGCACGGGAUAAUACCCGUGCAACUGACGGUACCUGCAGAAGCACCGGCUAACUACGCCAGCAGCCGCGGUACGUGGUGGGUGCAAGCGUUAAUCGGAAUUACUGGGCGUAAAGCGUGCGCAGGCGGUUCGGAAAGAAAGAUGUGGAAAUCCCAGAGCUUAACUUUGGAACUGCAUUUUUAACUACCGAGCUAGAGUGUGUCAGAGGAGGUGGAAUUCGCGUAGCAGUGAAAUGCGUAGAUAUGCGGAGGAACACCGAUGGCGAAGGCAGCCUCCUGGGAUAAAUACCGACGUCAUGCACGAAAGCGUGGGGGAGCAAACAGGAUUACGUCUGGUAGUCCACGCCCUAAACGAUGUCAACUAGCUGUUGGGGCCUUCGGGCCUUGGUAGCGCAGCUAACGUGAAGUUGACCGCCUGGGGAGUACGGUCGCAAGAUUAAAACUCAAAAGGAAUUGACGGGGACCCGCACAAGCGGUGGAUGAUGUGAUUAAUUCGAUGCAACGCGAAAAAAACCUUACCUACCCUUGGUGACAUGUCUGGAAUCCCGGAAGAGAUUUGGGAGUGCUCGCAAGAGAACCGAACACAGGUGCUGCAUGGCUGUCAGCUCGUGUCGUGAGAUGUUGGGUUAAGUCCCGCAACGAGCGCAACCCCUUGUCAUUAGUUGCUACGAAAGGCACUCAAUGAGACUGCCGAGACAAACCGGAGGAAGGUGGGGAUGAGUCGUCAAGUCCUCAUGGCCCUUAUGGGUAGGGCUUCACAUCGUCAUACAAUGGUCGGGACAGAGGGUCGCCAACCCGCGAGGGGGAGUCAAUCCCAGAAACCCGAUCAGUCCGGAUCGCAGUCUGCAACUCGACUGCGUGAAGUCGGAAUCGCUAGUAAUCGCGGAUCAGCAUGUCGCGGUGAAUACGUUCCCGGGUCUUGUACACACCGCCCGUCACACCAUGGGAGUGGGUUUUACCAGAAGUAGUUAAAGGCCUAACCGUAAGGAGGGCGAUUACCACGGUAGGAUUCAUGACUGGG